UGGGUUAGUGGCGGACGGGUGAGUAACGCGUGGGCAACCUGCCUUACACAGGGGGAUAACACUUAGAAAUAGGUGCUAAAACCGCAUAAGCGCACAGCUUCGCAUGAAGCGGUGUGAAAAACUCCGGUGGUGUAAGAUGGACCCGCGUCUGAUUAGCUUGUUGGCGGGGUAACGGCCCACCAAGGCGACGAUCAGUAGCCGGCCUGAGAGGGUGGACGGCCACAUUGGGACUGAGACACGGCCCAAACUCCUACGGAAGGCAGCAG
rnacentral:rRNA from 1 species